CAAGAAAAAAAUGUGUCACGUGUAUCUUUGAUAUGAUCUUAUCUGAUUAUCUAUCAUCUAGAUUCUAGAAUGAACAACCCCGCCUAGAAUAUAUGCGAUCAUAGUGAAUGGUUAUGAUCUCGUGAUAUAACAUUUUUGCAACGUACAACCUCACCUAGAAUACGCACUAGAUAUAUCAAGAAGAAAUAGCAAAUAAUGGCUAAGAUAACCCCUCUAAACAUGGAACCAGUUACCAGGGCCAAAUCUAAAAUUUAAGAGGAUAUGAACAUACUAUUAGAUUAAUUUUAAUUGAAUAUAUUAUUAGAUUAAUUUUAAUUUAAAAAAAUCAAGAAUUUGAAGAUAACUAUGGUCGGUCCACGCUACGCGCAGAAUAUAUUGCUUUACGUGUGAUAUAAGUACUUAUAUUUUUAUAUGCUUUUGUUAUUUGUGUUUUAGAUUUGUAUUUGCAAAAGAUGUGUAUGAAAGAGUUUUGUUCUUUUGUUUUAAAAACAGUUGAGUAAGGAAAGUUUAUUAUAUUUGGUAAAAUUUAUUAUGCUUGAUUACGUUAGUUGUUUUUGUAUUAAAAUGUUGCGGCGUAUAACAUAUAAGAUGUUGUAUGAGGUCUACAUGGUCUUUUGAUGUUUGUUUUUUAAAAUAAUUUUGAAUGUAUAGUUGGCAGGCUGUUUAUGUUUUAUUAUAUUUUAGGUUCGAAAGGAUGAGUAUGGUGAAUUUUACGAUUAACGUUUGUAUGAACAGUUUGGACCGUAGAGGUUUGCUGCUAUUUAUGGUUUAUGGAUUGAUGAACAUGGUACGGAAGAUGAGAGAAAUGAAUGAUAGUUGGAAGAUAAAUAGUUUGCCAACCUGAAAGUCGAAGAUAAAGCUGACCAGACAUUGAUAGAGAACCAACAUGCAAAGAAUAAUUGGUCUCGCGUUUCUUGGAAUUACAAAGAAGACAAAGAGCGUCAGUUUGCGGCUUCUCUCUCCGUCUCCAGAUUCAUCCUCAUUCACCGCCAUAUCUGUUUCCAAGCCAUUCGUCUUCCCAACUUCCACAUUCAUGGCCUCUCUCCUUCACACGAUCUAUCUCUCCUAAUUUCUCCCUCAAUUCAGCAGCUGCCGCAGCUCCAACAAAACCAUCAGAUCCUAAAAAUCUAGAGUAGAAAGCGAAGACGAUAAAGGUGAAAUGGGCUUAAAAGCCCAUAUAAAACCAAAAUGAAACGCAGAGUUAGACGCUUAAACCUAUUGAGGUGACACGUGUUGAGACAGUAGCGUUCGACUUAAUGACAUGGCGAUGACGUGGCAGCAUGAAACAGAAGGAAACACUACUUUAUAUAAUAAGAAAAUACUUUUAAGUUUAGAAUAGUUUAGAGAUCAAAACGAAAGUUUCAUCCAUUUGUGUACAAAAGAAGCAACCAUGCCAGUGACUCGUUUUUCUUACUGUUACCGCCCCACUUGCAAAAUUUACCUUUAUAAACUUCUCAGUUUUAUUAAUAUUAUCAUUGGUUCACUACAGAGUGCUUAAAGUCUAAUGUACAUAGAAAACACUAUGGAUAGACGUAAGAAAGAGAGAGUUAACGUGAACAUAGACAUAGUUUAUUAUCACAACCAUGUCACAUAGACAUACUUGUGACAAUAUGAUCCACGCUAUUUAAGAUUAUAACGAAGCACAGACAUUUAAGUAUUUAACAGAGUAGAAAA